rnacentral:rRNA from 1 species
GAUGAACGCUGGCGGCGUGCCUAAUACAUGCAAGUCGAGCGAACGGACGAGAAGCUUUUUUCUCUGAUGUUAGCGGCGGACGGGUGAGUAACACGUGGAUAACCUACUUAUAAGACUGGGAUAACCUCGGGAAACCGGAGCGAAUACCGGGUAAUAUUCUGAAUCGCAUGGUACAAAAGUGAAAGACGGUCUUGCAGUCACUAAUAGAUUGAUCCGCGCUUCAUUAGCUAGUUGGUAAGGUAACGGCGUACCAAGGCAACGAGGCAUAGCAGACCUGAGAGGGUGAUCGGACACACUGGAACUGAGACACGGUCCAGACUACUACGGGAGGCAGCAGUCGGGAAUAUUCCGCAAUGGGCGAAAGCCUGACGGAGCAACGCCGCGUGAGUGAUGAAGGCCUUCGGGUCGUAAAACUCUGUUGUUAGGGAAGAACAUAUGUGUAUGUAAAUGUGAACAUAUUGACGGUACCUAAUCAGAAAGCCACGGCUAACUACGUG